GACAGAGGGGGCAAGCGUUGCUCGGAAUUACUGGGGCGUAAAGCGCACGUAGGCGGCUUUGUAAGUUAGGGGGUGAAAGCCUGGAAGCUCAACUUCAGAAUUGCCCCUUAAGACUGCAUCGCUUGAAUCCAGGAGAGGUGAGUGGAAAUUCCGAGUGUAGAGGUGAAAUUCGUAGAUAUUCGGAAGAACACCAGUGGCGAAGGGCGGCUCACUGGACUGGUAUUGACGCUGAGGUGCGAAAGCGUGGGGAGCAAACAGGG
rnacentral:rRNA from 1 species